GAAAUGCGAUAAGUAGUGUGAAUUGCAGAAUUCAGUGAAUCAUCGAAUCUUUGAACGCACAUUGCGCCCUUUGGUAUUCCUUAGGGCAUGCCUGUUCGAGCGUCAUCUAAACCUUCAAGCCCUGCUUGGUGUUGGGUGCCUGUCCCGCCUCCGCGCACGGACUCACCUCAAAUCCAUUGGCGGCCCCCGCGUCGGCCACGAGCGCAGCAGAAACGCGAACUCGUGAGCCCGUCCGGGCGGCUCCCAGAAGCUACACCCACCCAGUUUGACCUCGGAUCAGGUAGGGAUACCCGCUGAACUUAAGC
rnacentral:misc_RNA from 1 species